CUCGAGUAGGGCCCAAGCCAGCCAGGAAGGAGGAGGCAGCUAGAGUGUUCUCUGCAGCAGAAGAUCCCUUGCUGCACUGCUUAACCCAGACCAGCAUUUGCCAGGUUGCAGCCUGAUGGUCCAUCAUCAGAUUUCCAAAUUUCAUCCAGAAGAAUAUCCUGUAUGAGGAUACUGGGGAGGAACAAGAGAUGGAGGAGUUUUCCUGGAAUGUACUAAAGAAAGACACCUGCCAGAUACAGGAGUUCACACUUUUUCAAAAGUGGUCCAGAAUGUUUUCCGUGUCACUUCAGAACCUCUACAGCAUCCUAGAGUGAUUCACUGAACUGUUUAUCCAAUGCUACCAUGCUCUUACACAGCUUCCAUCCACUUCAACAGAAUGUUUUCAAGAUAACUUUCCAGUAGACAGCAUCCAAGGUUAAAAUAUACCUUAGAGAGAAGCCUGGAGCUCUGGAGUCUGGCAGUAUAUAAAUCAAAUAAAGAAAUAAACAGCGCGAAGGGAAGCGGUUCAUCCGUUGCAUCGGCCAUUUUGCUGGCUGGCAAGAAGCCAUGCUACCAUUGUCACUCUUCAUCGCCUUCCUCCUGCACUUGCUCAGCAGCAACAUCUGCCAAUGAGCAUGCGCUGUCACUGCAUUGCUCUGGCCUUCCUCUCCUUCUGGGCCAAUUGAAAUGAGAGGAGAGAGAGCAGUGAGGUAACCCGAUGCACUUAAUUUUGAAUGGAGUGCGGGAGGGGGAAAGAAGAGAAACAAGCAGCAAGGUGAGGUAGCACCACAAGAGGGGAGGAAUUUAACUCUCAUCUCAAUGCAAGCCAAGUCCUGGUGAACAUCUGCCACCCAUCAAUGGGAAGAUGCCCUCUUUGCCUCGCCCUCAUCCUGCCCCAUUUUCAAUUAUUUGAGAUUCUCUAUGUGAUGUUAAUUUUUAGAAAUGCUUGUACAUUAUUAUUAGUUGUUGCAGAUCUUUGUAUGGAUCUCUGAGGGAUUGACAUUUUGUAUACAAGCCAUGGUACAGCUUGUUAUCUAACUGCCUUUAUCUGCUGUUUUGUUUUGCUUUUGCAUCUGUUUAAUGAAUCCUUUUUCUACUUUAGGAAGUAAACUGUUCUGUCUCUAUUUUCA